CCUACGGGUGGCAGCAGUGAGGAAUAUUGGUCAAUGGGCGAGAGCCUGAACCAGCCAAGUCGCGUGAAGGAUGACGGCUCUACGGGUUGUAAACCUCUUUUAUGUGGGGAUAAAGGGGUCCACGUGUGGAUGUUUGCAGGUACCGCAUGAAUAAGGAUCGGCUAAUUCCGUGCCAGCAGCCGCGGUAAUACGGAGGGUCCGAGCGUUAUCCGGAUUUAUUGGGUUUAAAGGGAGCGUAGAUGGGUUAGUAAGUCAGUGGUGAAAGUUUGUGGCUCAACCGUAAAAUUGCAGUUGAUACUGGCAGUCUUGAGUACAGUUGAGGUAGGCGGAAUGCGUGGUGUAGCGGUGAAAUGCUUAGAUAUCACGAAGAACUCCGAUUGCGAAGGCAGCUUACUAAACUGCCACUGACAUUGAUGCUCGAAAGUGUGGGUAUCAAACAGGAUUAGAUACCCUGGUAGUC
rnacentral:rRNA from 1 species